GGGAGUGAAAUAGAACCUGAAACCCUGCACUUACAAGCUGUGGAAGCACAUUUCUUGUGUGACCGCGUACUUUUUGUAGAACGGGCCAACGAGUUACGUUAAGUAGCACGGUUAAGCACUUAAGGUGCGGAGCCGUAGCGAAAGCGAGUUUUAACUGAGCGUUCAGUUACUUGACGUAGACCCGAAACCGGGCGACCUACCCAUGAGCAGGAUGAAGCGAAAGUAAAAUUUCGUGGAGGUCCGAACCCACGAGCGUUGAAAAGCUCGGGGAUGACUUGUGGGUAGCGGUGAAAUUCCAAUCGAGCCCGGAGAUAGCUGGUUCUCCCCGCAAUAGCUUUAGGGCUAGCCUCAAGGUGAGAGAUAC
rnacentral:rRNA from 1 species